rnacentral:lncRNA from 1 species
GGGCAUUCGGAGGGGAGGCAUCGAACAAGAUAUCACAAGCUGUGCUGCCCUGCCUGGGAAGCUGGACACACUUGGAUUGAGCUGAGCUUGAAACAUCUGUCAGCACUCCGGACUCCGCUGGCGAGGAAGAGAGAGAGCGAGAGAGAGAGAGAGAGCAGAGGGCCCUGGUAUGUAGCGCAGGCCCUGGCGCAGGAAUCGCUGGAGCUGCUUAGCCUGGCACGGCUGAUUUGUUUAUUUGCCCUGACCUCGCGUUCGCGCCGAGGUUACGGGGACCUAGUGAAAGGAACCAUUGUGCUGUGGGGGGAAAAAAAAUCUGUUACAAAUAUUUACCAUGGAGGGAAUGCAAAGCCGUGGCCUGCAGCCAGCCAGACUCAAGCUGUAAAAUUCACUGCAUUGCAUUUUUUGAAUUAGCUCCCCCUCACCACCUCCAUCCCUUUUUAACCGGGGUUAAAAUUAUACCCCUUACAUUUUUAUUAAUGAGAUCACGCUGUCACAGAUUAUUAGACGUUUAAUAGCCUCAUGAUCAGGAUCCAAUGAGUUCCUCCAGCCCACGUUUAUCCCAUAACUUAGCAUUUUAACAUAUGGCGUGUGCACCAGGAUGCUGUGAUUAUACAAUAAUGACUUUACUGCGUCUGUGCCUUCCUAACAAUUGUGUUUCCUCUUAAUUUUGUGUAUUUUCAGUAACAAAUUUUCCUUCCCCGGCGUCUAGUUUGUGUAACCACAUUUGACUAAACUACCACGCCGAUGUUUUUCUUGCAGAAAAAUCUGGAGCACAUCCCCACACUGCAUUUCUUAUUCCGCAGGGUCCCCCUGUUAGGUCAGUAGUAACAAAUGCUUUUUCAAAAAGGCUGCAUAAAUUCCCUUUUCUCCUCAUAUGUUUUUUUUUUUUCUUUUUCUUGAAAAUGCCAUAUUGGUUUUAGCUGGAAUAAAUCUGCCGGCUUCCAUCAUGCUUGCCUUUUUUUUUUUUACCCUUGCUGCCGGACCAGGCGGACGCCCUCGCUGGCGCAUUGACAUGCAACAAAGCUAAUGGUGGCCGGGACAGGAGGGCCUAAUCUUCACUAACUGACAAGAUUUAAAUUGAGGAGACAUCUUCCGCUGAUUAGCUCCCACACCCACAAUUAUCCAACUGGGGUGUCAAGCAAGGUUUAACAUCUCCACUGAUUCUGCUCU